UAAGAGGGUGGGUAGGAUAAUUACACAGGUGUUUAAAGUCUCGCGACACUGAGAAUCUAUCGUUUGAUCCCGUUCCCUCUGGUAUGUGUGUGCGUUGGAAGGACUGCUGCGACUAGUCUGUUAUACGAUCUUGUUAAAAAUUAUCGUUCUAUUUCGUUUCCUCUGGUAUGCCUGUGCCCUAAAGGUCGCUGUGGAUAUUCUGCCUCUUCAAUUUGGUGGAGUUAGCGACUUUAGUGAUUGCUGGGCAUUCUUAAGGGGUGUCCUGUAUCAGUUCCUAAAAGUAGACGCACCGCUUUCCAGAACAGGAUGUGUAGCAAAUAACCAAUUGCUCGAUAACACCUGAUAUCACUAGCCAGCUUCGUUCAUAUUGGACAAAGGGGAAAAGCUUCUCUUCAAAUGAGGUAGCCAGGUUAAUCUGGCUGUUUUAAAAGGAGGAGUACUUUUGGCUGUUGAUUGGGCAACCACUGUUUCUUUCCUUUUGUAUUUUUC